AAUUUUGGACAAUGGGCGCAAGCCUGAUCCAGCCAUGCCGCGUGAGUGAAGAAGGCCUUCGGGUUGUAAAGCUCUUUCGGACGGAAAGAAAUCGCGCAGGCUAAACCCUUCCGCGAUGACGGGUCCGUCCAAAAGAACCCCGGCCAACUACCGGCCCGCAACCGCGGUAAUACGUAGGGUGCGAGCGUUAAUCGGAAUUACUGGGCGUAAAGCGUGCGCAGGCGGUUGAUUAAGACAGGCGUGAAAUCCCCGGGCUUAACCUGGGAACUGCGCUUGUGACUGGUCAGCUAGAGUACGGCAGAGGGGGGUGGAAUUCCACGUGUAGCAGUGAAAUGCGUAGAGAUGUGGAGGAACACCGAUGGCGAAGGCAGCCCCCUGGGCCGAUACUGACGCUCAUGCACGAAAGCGUGGGUAGCAAACAGG
rnacentral:rRNA from 1 species